UGCGUAGGCGGAAUAUUAAGUCAGUGGUGAAAUCCUGCGGCUCAACCGUAGAACUGCCAUUGAUACUGAUAUUCUUGAAUGUAGUUGAGGUAGGCGGAAUGUGUAAUGUAGCGGUGAAAUGCUUAGAUAUUACACAGAACACCGAUUGCGAAGGCAGCUUACUAAACUAUGAUUGACGCUGAGGCACGAAAGCGUGGGGAGCGAACAGGAUUAGAACCCUGGUAGUCC
rnacentral:rRNA from 1 species